rnacentral:misc_RNA from 1 species
UUUCCGUAGGUGAACCUGCGGAAGGAUCAUUACUGAGUGAGGGCCCCUCGGGGUCCAACCUCCCACCCGUGUUUAACGAACCUUGUUGCUUCGGCGGGCCCGCCUCACGGCUGCCGGGGGGCAUCUGCCCCCGGGCCCGCGCCCGCCGAAGCCACCGGUGAACGCUGUCUGAAGUAUGCAGUCUGAGGCAAUUAUUAAAUUAAUUAAAACUUUCAACAACGGAUCUCUUGGUUCCG